GAUCCGAGGAAGGGGAACCCCAUCGUGCUGGCUUGGCAUGGAAGGACGGCUACCCAAAAAGUCUUUUUCGCAGCUUGGUCCGCGUAAGCUCAAUGCUUAUGGCUUUACCCAGCAUUGCCACUCUUCUUACUAUGUUGUGGGACCGCGAAGACAACCCACCACUGGAACUUGCUUUGCUCUCACUCCGCUCGCUUCCACUAUGUCUUCUUCCCACUAUAGUGAAAGAUCUUUCACCAUAGCAGGAACCUCACUGACCUUCUCAGGCAGUUACUAAUUUUUAGCUGGGGAUCCCUUCCUGCUUAUCCAUCCACCGUAAACGAUUACUAAAGGACUUGGAAUACGAAUGAGAUCAAAAAGGCCAUCAUUGGGGCAAAUGAUGCAAUAGCUUCGGUUAGAGCAAAGCCCAAAAUGGCAUAACCAAAUAAUUGUUUUGCCAAUGAUAGAUUUUGUGCCACGGAAUUAAUCGAGGAACUAAGGACAUUUCCAAUACCGAUAGCAGCUCCCGCUAAAGCAAUUGUAGCAGCUCCUGUACCCAUUGAUUUUGCACCUUCUAACAUCUCAACUUGAGAAUUCUCCUCACGCUUUUUCCAUCACGAUUUUCUCUUCGAGAACACUCGCCUCGUCAAUUAUUCCCCUCGUUACUCUUAUCUUAGAAAUUGAGAUGUUUAUGCAAAGCAUAGGCGUCACAAGCGGUACAGUGAACACCAACCCAAUCUCGAAAAAUAAAGAGAAGUACAAGCAAGGAUAUUUUCUCAAUCAAGAAGGUAUUGAACUUCUCGACGCACCUCUAUCAAUUCCUUUUUUGCCUCAUCUUCUUCUCUUAUGAAAUUUCUUUUGAAAUUGAUUUUUUCAAUAUUCAAUAUUUAUAUUGACAAUAGUGUAUCGAACAAAUAGAAUUCAUUGUGAUAAAUGAAGUGGAUCUAUUUCGUUUUCUUUCUAUUGAUUGAGACCUAGCCUCUCUCCUUUGGUUCGUAGCCUUGGGUUAUACACUUUUCCUUAAGGCAGAGGUUUUGCCCACUUCAAAAACAUGUACUCCGUCGAAGGCAAAGAGGUUUUCAGCAACCCUAGAGGUAGUUCAACUUGAAGACUCUCUUUUUCUCUAUACGGAAUUCCUAGGAGUCCACAAAAGAAGGCAGUACCAAAUAACCUAGAAUAAGGAAGUUUUAUACCUACUCAAGGGAACUACCAAAGAAGUAAUAUAUCCAGUCACCUGGUCUUUAGGAUUCUUACGAUAGCAGGCGAGACUAAGCAGAAAUACAAAGUCUAGGUAAUUCUUUAUCCACUCUGCCUAAGGAAGGUAAAUUAGCGGCAUCUCCUUCGAGAAGAGCUCAUAUUCUUUCAGUAAUACUAUGAGAUAGAUUAGGAAAGACUUCAUUUUUUGGGUCAAGGUUUGCAUUUAGUUGAGGUAGAAGUUCGUUAGCAAGUGGAAAGUUAAAAAGGGGGUCAUUCUCUUCUAAUUGAACUUCCCCCCGCUUACUUGAAUUCCUUCUAAUUCAAGGGUUAUAGGUGCAUCCCCAUUUCCCUCUUCGGCCUCUCUCUCUUCGAGUCGUCUUCACUUUUUUAAUCCUACUGCUUUUCUCCCUCUAUAUAGCACAGGUAGCUUGCUUCCAAGCCACUGGCAGGAACCAGAUAAGGAACAAGAGAGAGAAGCAGCUCAAUUUCAAAGGUUAGGCGCGAUAGCCACUCAUGCAGAAGGAGAUGUUUGGGAUAAAAGCCCCAUCUCAUGGUGCUUUUGUUAAGAGUUCCCCCUCUUCGACAUAUUUUACUGUGGAAACCCUGAUGGAGAAGAUUGUUGGCCCCUUCUCUGCUGGUUCUCUCAGACUAGCAUCAACAAAUGUUAAGGUUAACCUAAUAGUCAGGUUUCAUUACUUCCAAAAUCCUGGUGAUGGAUGUGGAGAGGUGUGUGAACAGAAAGAUUCAUUAUGUACAACAAAGCCGCUCCAUGUAGGAAUUCAAGUACCAACAAGAGUUUGGUCCUAUAUAUUUCAGGUAUGUUGGACCUUCAUUACCUGCUGAUCUAUCCAAUGAUUUUUUGAUGGGAUAGUUCUGUCGUUGUGACCACAAUAUCGCAUUACCAUGGCGGCUGCCUUAUUGGGAAAGUGGUUGAUAGGAACUUAAGACUUUUUGGGGCACUCAUAGUUGUUGAUGGUUCAACCUUUACCAUGUCACCGGGCACCAAUCCGCAGGCUACUCUGUUGAUGCUUGGCCGGUAAGUGCUUUAAUAUGCGUUGGAUAUUGUACAAAAGUGCGAUUGCAACUAAUCGGGAGCUUGCGUAUGUAAACGAAAGAGUAUACAUCCCCCUUGAUAACUGAAUGCAAGCGAGGCUAGACCUAGAUUCGCAUAUGUAAGUGAAAACAAAAAGAAAGAAGAAGCGGAACUCCUUUCUUGUCUAGAAAGGGGAAGAGGAGCUCAAACAAGGUUCAAAGAUCCCCUCCCCAAAGUAUGGUUUAAAGAAAGCCUUUCAGGUUAGUGAGGAACAUGAUAGUGAAAGAGAAAAAAAAGGAAAUCCGUUUAUGGCGGCUUACCUUCGUACAUUCAAGAACAGUUAUGACUCCUUGGCAUCUAUCAAUGCACCGGUGUCCCAAUCUGAUAUGUUUACAUUCCUUCUUGCUGGCCUGCCUUCGGAGUAUGAAAGCUUUGUCACUACGGCGAAGCUUCAACGACCAAAACCAACUAUGGCUGAGCUUCGUUCUUGUUGUUACAUGAGUCUUGGCUUCAGCAGAUGCAUCCUAUUACUAUGUUCAUGAUCUUGUAUACUAAUCGAGUUCGCACUCGCCCUAGAACACGUACGUCCUCCCUGUAAUUGUCUUGUCUUUGUUAUGGUUUCAGGGCCUACGUCUACCCGUAUGGAGCCACCAUCAUUUGCAAGGCUUGCUUUACAUUGGACCCGAUGUUCAGCCUCUUAGACAAGAUGAAAUUGAGGAUUUGUAUUAUACCCAGGCAUUCAUUCCUGGACUUUACAAGUUACAAGUUAUCCCCACAUGGAGUCCACCCAAGGGAGAAAUCCAAUCCAAUGGGUCACUAGGACUGGGCUUGACAUUAAAGAUAGAGAAAAGCAUAUAAGCGCAAAAAAGGAAAAUUGCCUGGGAAAACAAUCCCAAGGGAAGCUUCUCGCUAGUGCUUUGCCCCACCACUGAACAUUGCAUUGCUAUGGUCAAUAAACAGCCUUAAAGUGGUUCUGAAUGACCUUGAGGAGGCCCUGGUGCAGUACCUUUGUCGCUCGAAGGAUCUAUGAAAAGAAUGUCCCACUACGAAUUCCUAUCCCAUUAAUAAAGUACAGAUAAAUAAUAUAUUCCAAGUCUGACUUUUAAAGCAUACGCAUUGAAAAAAACCUUUGGCUUUGGACUUUCUGCUUUGAUAGAUCUUUCCUCUCAAAAUAGGUUUUACCUAACCCACUAUGUCCUUUGUUUAAUACCCAUUUUUAGGAGCGGGAAUCGUCGAAUUAAAAACCCUUUCUUCUGCCCUCGCCACUUCUUUCACUGACCCUAUCCACCUUAUUUGCAGAAUACCAGAAAAAGAGAUGAAUUAGCGGAUCAUAGGGCUAAGUCGAAGCAUGCUUGAACCUUCUUCGUUAGAGACUGAGUUAAUAUACAAUCCCACUUUGGAGACUUCCCUUCGGGAUAGGUAGGAUAUGGUGCCACAAAUUAUAGUCUACUCGGCAUGGGUGUCCAGGGUAUAUUCCUGCAUUUCAUUCAAAUGGGUUGAACAAUUCAUGUGAUUGUUUACAGUUGGCAAUUGUAUGCUCCUGGAUUAAACAUAAGAAUCCAAUUCUUUCUUUGGAUUGAUUCAUUCGUUAGUGUCGGAUAGCUUAGUAGCACAUUAUGAAUCUGGGAUUACCUGUUAGGUAGAACUAAGAUCUGUUGUUAGCUUCUUUAAGUCUUACCUUCUCUUUCAGCCGAUUCAAUCUCAUCUAUCUUAUUUCGUCGAUUAAGCAGCCCUGGAAUCACUUUACUCUCGUGCAUUUUGAGUAUUGUAUUAAAGUCUAAAAGAUAAUAAGCAUCUUUCUUUUCUUUUCGACGAUAUACUAAGCGCCAAGCCUACCUGUGUUCUGUCAACACCGAUAAUAGAGUAUAUAAUUUUUCUCAAUAUCUUUCUUUAUUCUUUCUGGAUUUUUCUCAAGAAAGGGGAAAUUGAAGACUGAGAACAUAGGAGGUCGGUGGCUAAGAGACUGACUUAAGAAAUUAGGUCGAGUCGAUAUUCGUCGUGCUAUAUAUCAUUCGUGAUCCCCACCUGGGAUUCUUGUGGUUCUGGAGGAUCCAACUACAGGAGAACUAGGAACAGGGGGCUUUUCCCUCUUUCCGCCCGACUCUUUGGUCUUAAGAACGCUGGUUUUAAGAAUGAGUCAUUGCCCUUCUCCGACCCUGACUGCCCAACCUGAGAGUGGACAGCUAAUGCGUUCCACUUAUUGAACAGGGUUCUAUGGUCGGUCCGUGACCCCUGGAUACCGAAGGCAUUCUUGGGGUGAUUUCAUAGUUCCUACGGGGGCCCGGGGAGAAUAGGCCAUUCAACUGGGAGAUUUUGAAAUUGCAGAGGCUUGGUUCAAUCAAGCCAUUGAACCUUUUCGACUAUUAGUAGCGGCUCAUGAAGUAGCCCUCUUUCUUUACGAGCUUACCCGCAGAGAACCACCCCUUUUAAGGACUAUACCUUGCUAGGUGAUGAUAUCCUAAUCACUGAUGCACUUGUGGCACAACAAUAGAGGAUAAUACUGGAUAAACUCGGUGUGACCAUUUCGGAGGCCAAAUCGAUAAUAUCUGAAACUGGUUGCGUCGAGUUUGCCAAGAGAUUCUGGGUCAAGUCAGGGUCUAUCAGCCAGCCGAACCCAUUCAGACCCAAAACUGGCUUGCGCAAAUCACCCUUAGAUAGGGUAGACUUUAUCACGUGCCCUCCCAUUCCAUCUAGGCCAAAUACCUAUUUAAGGUAUUUUCGAUGAUAGCAGUUCCCACCCGAGUAGGGUGACUGAAUAAGAUGCUGCGGAUUUCCCACUUUCGAUGUGAAAGCAUCUGGGGGGAAAACCCAUCCUGCACCAAUGCAGCCUCGACCUUCUUUUCGACCAGAAACUGUUUGUCCAGUACCCAAAGAUAGAUUGGGAGGUGCCUGGCCUCGUUUCUCUCUUGAAAGAAGAACGCUAGCCGGGUCUAAAGCUCUGCUCUCCUUUGCCUAUCCGACCAGACGGACUGGCUGGCCCACUUGUACUUAAUAAAAUCAAAAUCAAGGCAAAUUCCCCUGAUGGGAGUGAACAUAGGGAUUCCCCGACGAACGAAUACAAUACAUGGAAGGCUGGAGGAUGUAGUACUGGACGGCUUUACCUACGACAUUUCCUACUCCUACUUUUCAUACAAAGAGAAUGGGCAGCCUGGAAAACUUGGAAUGAUUACAAAAUGCUUACCGCCUUCGAUUCACAUAGGUGAGUCAACCUACGAGCACGGAAGAGCAUGGUACCGCUACCCCUCUCUAAGUAAAGGUAAGAUUCUUGGGGCAACAAAAUGAUAUCGCUUCCCUUUCAUGAGGCGAGGACGCCGCUAGCCUCAUUGGCAACCUUAUAAACCAGAUAUCUCGGGUUCACUGUCGGAGCACACCGACAGAGAAGGGAACGAAGGCUAUAACAUAGGAAUUAGGUUGCUUGCAAUUCAAGACUUCCCCUUUCUAAAUUUUCUAGUCCAAUCAACAGCCUCUUACUAGGUGAUACUGAGGAGGGCCAGACCCUUUUUUUAUUUCUUUCUUUCUUUACUGUUCAAAGAAGAAGUUUUUUGUUAAGUGUAUACGCACUUUGUAUGAGAAAGAAGGGAUAUAAACAUAAUGGUUGUCUAACGAGAUACUAUGCUAAAGGGGAAUAGGUUGUUUUGCGCAUCCAACAACUGAAAGAGUUUGCGGAGAAGGGUUGAGUUGCGUAAUAGCAGAUUCGUAGGUCAAUAAAUCGUUGGAUUUGAAAUCGAACUCUCUACCUUGGGUGGAUAGGAAUUGAGACUUUCAAUGGUCCGCUCUUCUCUCCUCGUGAUCGAAGCUGACCCCAGAAGUUGGGUAUUCCGGGCUCUUUCUUUCACGCUAACCCCAUUUUCAACAUGCUGAAACUUUCUGUUUCAUUGAGCUCCAAGCUUGUGGUCCUCCUUUGAGUGUGGGUUCAAUUGAAUGCCUCCUUGAAGUGCAAUAAGAAGUAGGCUUGCUGCUACUACCGGUCUGGGUGGACUGGAAGUGCAUAAGUAGUUGCGUCAGCUGUUGAGUUUGGUUCAGAGCCAGGACAUCUUUGGCAUAUCCACUAGCAGCGCCUUUGGCAUGAUAGGCAGGCAGCAUAUCUUGAUCCAUCGGUAGCAGAACCACCGAGGGAAUUGAGUGAAUGACCUUUUCUUGCACUUCUUAUUCAACAGAAUAGUUAACUAGUAGUCUUUAAGUCAGAAAUCGGUUUCAUAUCUCAUAUGACAUCUGUACCAACAGACUUCUUCGGACACCAAUAAGGUAAGUAGCUACUCCAGCCGAUCAAACUCCAGAGGAUCCAGCUUAUUUGUUGGAUAGGUUAGCCCCUUCUCCUUCAGGAGAUGCAGCAAUACUACGUUCUCAUCUGAGUUCUCUUCCUCAAUCCACUCUAAGAAAAAGGCGAGAGAUAGGCUCGUGAGAACUCCCACUCCUCGGUCGAGUAAAGCAUCAAUCAAGUCAUCUCAUAAAAUCUCCCACUCCUCGCAAGGCUAAGAAAGCACUUCGGCUAGGGCGAAUGGUUCUAAAAAAGGAAGCCACAUUCAUUCGAUCUUUGAACCAACUCAACUGAAGGACUCAACGACUGGGGCAAAACAGUUUCCAUCUAUUGGCCUUAGGGGCUGCUUUAAAGAGUACCUGUUCUAGCUAGCAGCCUCUUUUUCCUGAUGAGGAAAUAGCGGCCAAUUAGCUACAUCCUUUAAGCCCAUUAGCGCAAGUCACUCUAUUAGCUCUAUUAGCUACAGGAAGAGGAUAUCGACUUAUUAAAGGGGCGGGCAGCAGUCGGACCUUUUUAUGAACUGAUAGCGCAAACGUUAUGUCGGAAUCAAUCUAGCAUUCCGCUUCGAAAGCUGUCUUUCUAAUGGCUUAUCUAUAUCCAUCGUUGUAGGCUCGACUUUCUUUAUUCUCUUCUAUAAGACAUUUAGUGGUUUUUUCCCUAUCGCAUGCCAUGUUGAAUCGAUAAACAAAAAAGGAAUGAAAGGAGAGGGCUGUAUCGAAUCAUAGAAGAGGGUCUUACCAUCCCUCUUUCCUCGUCGAGACAAAAGCAUAAUGAUAAGCAAUGGAGAUCCAUGAAGCCAUGAUAGAGUUUGCACCAGAUUCAUACAGAAGGACGGAUCGCCUCUCAGAAACUUCUGCCGUCGAGAAGUGCACCCAAGGAAUGCAUUGGGGUCUUGUGUAUAUCCUCUAAGGAAUCAAGCCAUGCACUUUCGAAGAAUUGGCGACUCGACUCCCUCUGUUUUUAUUCCAUCGGGCCAUGGCACAUAUAGAGAACGGUACGAUUCCUGUUAUAAGGACACCUUCGCCAAACCUUCCAGAGGCCAAGAACUCAAAAAUCCGAGGGUUUGACCCUUCGUAAACAUCACAACCGAUGACCUAUAGCCUUUAUUAUAUUAUAGAAACUAUAUGGUAAUUGAAAGACUACAGAAAAAAGUAUAAACGGUCCAGGAAGUUGCAAAGGGAUUUCCGAACAACCCUGCAUACAGGACGUCAGGAUAACAGAUUGCCAAAAAUCCUACUUCUACAAUUGGUAGGUCACCACGAUCACUUGGGGACUUCUUACUCCAGCUGUUCCAAGAGUCUCCGCUAGUUGAACCGUGUCCAGUAGACUCCCUCUUCCGCUCAUCCCCUUCAUCAGCUCUUUGAUCGGGAUACUAUUACCUAGGUUCCUAAAUUUGGAAUGGAUGGCGGAGCGUAGGUGGCAAGCAGUUAUAUGGAUACGGUGCUUUACCCGUAGAUGCUUCUCCAACUCUCGCAAGAAUUGUAUGGGAGUCGCCCUCAGAGGGACUUCCUGAAUGACCGUACCGAGGAAUUCUACCGUACUUCGUGCAGCUAUAGUUGUUAAUCCUGCAGAGUCUACCCAAAGGUUCAAGCCAGAUUAUAGGAAGUGGGCGAUACGUUUUUGUAUUUCUAUGAGAAGCUCGAUGGAACCCACGAGUCCUAGUAGUAAGUCGUCGGCAUAUCGCGCGUAACAAAUCCUUAUUAAGUAAUAGGUUUUUAAGGGGGCCAGCUUACGGGUCAGGCCUCUCUCUGACCUGAUAAUAAGUAUCACCUCCCCGCCCAGCUCUAUCAGCAGGCCCUUUCUUUUACCACGCGUAGAAAAUGUAACAUAGAGCCAUACCGGCCAACCCCUCUCUCCAUUUCGAAAAUUGGACAUCAAAUGCCUUGCGCUCACAGCCCUUUCUUCAUGUUAAAGUGAAUCAUGGAAGCAGCCCGAGGUGGGAAUGAAUCCUUCUUAUGUGCUUUCACACCGGCAGCCGAAGUCGAGCAUACAUACGACGAUCUUCAUGCAUGAAUAGCCGGAAGGAAAGAAAGGGUGGUAGAUGAUAAUGAGAAAGGGCACCGCGUCUGGACGGGCGGAAUGGAUGAGCGAAAGGUUAGUGACGGGAACUUAGCUAUCUUUUGGUCAGGUUUUCCGGGGUUGGUUCCUCUACUAGAAUAGGUCCCAAAUGCCUCACUUCUCUUACUUUUGGUGCUUAUCUUCAGUUAGAAGAUGGUCACCUGCCCUAAGCAAGAUCAAAAAAUCAGCAGGCCAUUCACGCAUCUUCCGUAGAGUACCAGCGCCAGCCCGCACUCAAUUCAAUGAUCAAGCCAAUAAGUCUCUUUCUAUACAAGGACUCAAGCACAUAUAGGCAGGCGACGACCUUUUUUUUUCAUCCCUGAGUCUGUUGAUCAACAAUUCUCAUUUCUUAGUUACAGAAAGCCCUUCUCAGUAAGCCAAGAGCCACUCAUCUAAGCCAGCGGAUUCGAAUUCAGCUGUGCCAGUGCACAAAACAAGCACGCUUAGACUGUGAUGUGCAAUCAUGAGUACAAUUUGACACUUUGAACGAGCAUAAAGGUUUGGAACUCUUUUCUUAUCUGAAUCCUAAGGACAGGACCCUACCCUAUUCUCGAACCCUCUGCCGAGCUCUACUCUGCCCGCAUUUCCUUGUGCUUUGAAGAGGAAAAAAAAAUCUCUCUACCUGCUGCCAACAGUCUUUCUUCGGAAUUAUCUGAAUGGGUAGAUCCUCCCAUCCCCUUUGUUUUAGCAACUUAUCCUAAGGUCUCCUCGCCAAGAGCUCCCCGACGACGAUAGAGGAAGCAACCCGUCUGCUGUGGUGGGGCGACUUUUUUCUUUCACAAUAAGACCUGGGCCAUAGUGAGUUCAUCACCAGUGGCAUAAGCAGAGGAGGCAUAUGGGGUAGGGAGAAAGGCAAUUUACCUCGAUUCUUACAAUUCUAGUUAAACCCACAACAAAGCCAGCGUUGCUUUCGUGGGAUCAACUGCUCGUUUUUGAUUAUCCAGUUCUAUAUCAACUAGUUUUAAAAGUUCUUCCAUUUAGUAAUGGAAGUCAUUCGUUGUCACUUUCGUUGGGUAUGGUAGAGAGGCUUGAGAAGGUGGACAAUCCUUCAGUGAAGACGUAACGAGCAAAGAAGCACUUCUUGUAACCAAAACAAAAACCCCAUGGAUCCGAAAUUAUUCUGGACCACGCCGCUAGAUUGAGACUGCCACCUUCCUAUUUGAGUAAGGAAUGAAUAUCAAACCCUACUGAUAUUCAACCGACAACCGGGCCUAGUGGUGCUUGCAGCUUUUCCUAUUUCGGCUUGGAUUGAAAAUACUGGAUAGGAAAGGAAAACAAACUAUCCCAUCACAAGCGGUACACUGAACACCAACCCAAUCUCAAAAAAUAAAGAGAAGUACAAGCAAGGACAUUUUCUCGAUCAAGAAGGUAUUGAACUUCUCGACGCACCUCUAUCAAUUCCUUCUUUGCCGGGCCUACCCCCCAACCUAGAGUAGCGAGGUGGGAAAGUAAAAUCAAUCCUUGUUCAUACAUAGGCUUCUCGGAUACAAAAUAGGCUACUUCAAAUAGGUUCAUUGCUCCGGCCCAGAUGUCGAGGACUUGAAUAAAUUUUAUUAGAUAUGAAUUCGAACUUUUUGGUAUUCACGACCGAGAAAGAAAGGUUCCGCGUUCGAACAUUGGUUGAUCUUAGCUUAGCGUGCUAGCCGCUGCUUCAUUUCGCACGUUGACUCAAUAAUGAUUCCACUACUUUCAUGGCUAUGUAUGCAUCCUUCUGAUGAAUAAAGUUAGCGCAUACUGAGGAUUGAGUCUGUCGCUUAUCCCUAUUCAUAGUAGGUACUCUUAGAAGAAAUAAUAUAGUAAUAUAGUAAAGGACAAAAGAAAGAGAUUCAUUUUGAUAUGCGGAUUACCGCUUCUGAGCUUCGAUGACCGGGAGGGCUUGAUAAGCAUGAGUGAAGAAGGGUCUUAUGUUACCAUUUUUGGUGGUAAAGAAGAUGUUCUUGUUCUUUCAUUCCCCAAACCCACUUCAGCUUUCGACGAUUGGGUUGAUAUUCUGAUAGGCGAGAGGUGUGAAGCCAGAUCGUACUAAAGACAAUGAAAAAGUUUCGAAAAUGAUAGAUUUCCAAAAAAUAAGUAAAAGAAGAAUGAAAGAUAGUCCUAUAUUGACAAGGAUGAGCUUUUUCACGAAGAAAGCUUCGUGCCCAACUGCUUGUAUAUCGAUCGGAAAGAAGCAGCUGCAAAUGCUAUCAGUGGUUCUUCCUCUCUGCUUAGUGACUCAAUCUCUCUUUCUUUUGAAGCUCGUGCAAAGCGGUAACUAUCUGAAGGCCUCGCACCGGCGCUAGUUGAACCUUCUUCGGUCUCUUUCAGCGGCGAUACCUGCCCGAUGCUGGAAGGUCGGAAGGAGAAGUGUUACAAGCGUUGAAUAGAAGCCUCGUAAACGGCAGCAGUAACUCUAACUGUCUAAAGUAAGUUUCACAGAAGAAAGGCUGGUUUGUCAAUGCUUUAGGUAAAGUGUAAGUGGCUUGAGCCUACCUAAGCUUGAUGAAGGGCAGAUGGACCUGGCGUUGAGUGCCCUUUCCGCUCAUCUUCCUAUAAAAGCGGCUGAGGAUUUGACUUGACUUAAUCAUAUUGGGACUAAUGAUCCCUCUCUCUCCUUUUUUGCUAAUUGAAUAGAUUUUUUUCUUUAGUGGUUUUGCCCAAUAUGCUAUUCGAAAAAAAGGAGAAUGGCUCGGCUAUCCCACCUAGCCAAGCCAGAAAAAUAGAUUUGAUAUAAAGUUGCAUAAAGCCCCAAUUCAAAUUAUUAAGAAUUCAAACAAUACAAAGCACAGAAGAACGAAAACCACAAAUGCAAACAACAGUAACAAGUACAGACAUAAAAGUGCAAGAUGAUCCAUACACGCUCGACCGCGAAAAGGAGAAAACGGCCUUAAUCUCCACUAUUUCUGAUUAAGAACAAUAUAUUUUUCUCCUUUCCUUGCCCUUCUUGAUGAUGUGCAGCACACCAACCUACGCUCUUUUUCUCAUUAACCAAGAACCAUAUACCAUACCACGACCUCAUUACGAACAAAAAAGUGGAAUGAAAUCCCAGUUAUACACUCCCUUCAUUCUACGAACCCUUGUUGAUUCUGAACUUCAUUCGCGAAGGACCGGACUUUUGACAGGACAACCCUUUUUUAUACGCCGCUUUACCCUAAAAGAAAAAUGAGCUUUGCUCCUCUGGGCGCUAGGUGCUCCCAUGGUUUGCGAGAAGGAAAAAGGAUGUUGCAUCUGGCACGAGAUGAUAAAGAGAGAGCUUCGUCUAUUGAUGAACAGCGGAUUAACGGAGCUCUUGGCAUUGCUUUGUUUUUAUCCCCUUUCCUAUCAGCGAGUUCUAACCCUUUUGUUCAAAAUUUCUUUAUUUGUACUGAAAUGAACUUGACCAAGAGGGCGGAACCCCGUUAGUAAAAGACCGGAGAGAACUCCGCUUUUUGGAUCAACUUUUACAUGAUCUCCGAAAAAAUGGAAUAAACUCCGUCUAUUCAAUAUUCCAUUUGGGUGCCCAGUGAGAAAGGCCCUGACCCUGCCAACCAAGUAUCAAAAAGAAAAAAGAGAAAGAAAGAAGAAGAGAACUUCGUAUUUGUCUCACUCUCAGAGGUGGCCCUUGAGUUCAGUUGCUUUUGGUUUAAUAUGGUAUCGAUAGCAAUAGCCAUUUUCCAGUUUGUCGGUCCCCGAUUAUAAGUUCUCAUUGACCAUGACCUAUAGGAACCAGGCUAUCUACCACUUUUAAACCUGUUCUCACAAUGAUUGAUGAGGAGAUAAGGGGCGAAGGAUAUUCAUGAUAUUCGGAAAGAUUUCUAUUCAUUCGCUCUGCGAGCAGAGCGGUAUACCGAAAAAAAGAAGCGGCUACUUUACUUAAGCAAUUCUUCUUAUUCUUCUUCUUUCUUAGUUGAAGUUCCCUUUCUCCGGCAGCUAGUUCAAUGGUUUCUAAGCUGGAUGACUGGUAUUCUCUGGAUGGACGGUAAAUCCAGGUAUGCUGCUGGUCUUUAGAAGGACCAAGGGAAUCCUGGUCUUCUCUCCUAACGAAUUUCCCCUUUUCUACUCUCUUUCGCUACCUGGAGCCCGCUCAUUUGGUAUACGCGGUCAAAUCGGCUCUCCUGCCUGUGUAUCCCAUGCCCGGUGCCGUUGAUCUAUCUGAUGGGAGAGAUCCGCAGGUAGUACCCAAAGACUGACUUUCAAAAGGCAGCUAUCUUAAUCACGACGGGAUCCUCUCGACCAUACAAAAUGAGUUAAUAGAGAGAGGAAAUCUAGUCGCGCGAUAAGAAAUCCAGUGUUUCACUAAGAUUUCGAAUAGCGGUCCCGAAUUCAAGUUGAUUCUAUUUUGACUUUUCCUCAGAGAAAGACGAUCAAACAAUUCCCAAUCAUCGUCCUUGCGGAUCGAAUAAUCCAUAUAAUAUACAAAAAGAAACUCCAGAUAUUUGAGAUCUUUCUCUUUGAAUAAGAUCUUAAUUCCAGCGACGGUUUCAUUAGAUAUCUUACAACUAGAAUCCCUCUUUUUUCUGAUCCAGUUCCUCCACCAACAUGAACCCCAGUUAGAUUCAGGUAUGCUACACUUUUUAGUAAUUGAGAGAACCGGAUUGUUGUGGAACUAGAUCCUCUGCUAGAGUCAGAGUUGUUGUGUAGCCAGGUUCACCUGCCCAAUGCCAAUGAUACGAAGAGCUAGCUUUGCUACCCCUGGCUCAAAAAUGCCAAAUCUCGUCUGAAUCAUCACUUGUCAGGACUUUUUGGCACAAGUUCCUUGGCUUGGACAGGGCAUUUAGUCCAUGUUACUAUUCCUGCAUCCAGAGGGGAGUACAUUUGGUGGAAUAAUUUCUUAGAUGUAUUACCGCAUCCCCAAGGGUUAGGCCCACUUUUUACAGGUCAAUGGAAUCUUUAUGCUCAAAACCCCAAUUCAAGUAGUCAUUUAUUUAGUACCGCCCAAGGGGCGAGAACUGCCAUUCUAACUCUUCUCGGGGGAUUCCAUCCACAAACGCAAAGUUUAUGGUUGACUGAUAUUGCCCAUCACCAUUUAGCUAUUGUAUUUAUUUUUCUCGUUGCUGGUCAUAUGUAUAGAACCAAUUUUGGGAUUGGGCACAGUAUGAAAAAAACCUUUGGCUUCGGACUUCUGCUUUGAUAGAUCUUUCCUCUCAAAAUAGGUUUUACCUAACCCACUAUGUCCAUUGUUUAAUACCCAUUUUCAGGAGCGGGAAUCGUCAAAUUAAAAACGCUUUCUUCUGCACUCGCCACUUCUUUCGCUGACCCUAUCCACCUCCUUUGCGAAAUACCAGAAAAAGAGAUGAAUUAGUGGAUCAUAGGGCUAAGUCGAAGCAUGCCUGAACCUUCUUCGUCGAAGACUGAGUUAAUAUACAAUCCCACUUUGGAUACUUCCCUUCGGGAUAGGUAGGAUAUGGUGGCACAAAUUAUAGUCUACUCGGCAUGCGUCGAUUUUUUGCUGGAGAAGCCUAGAUCACUAGUUUUGGACUAUUGAGAAACCCCCCUCUGCCCGCAUCCCUGGAACUUACUUUAUUUUUUUGCUUUCAAGACCCUACCUGCUUCACACCUUUUAUGAUAGGGGAAAUACUUCCACAUGAGUACUAAUUUGAUUAGCAUAAAUGAGCCUCUUCGGAGCCCUUAAGAUUUUACAUAUCAGCUUCAGAACAUUCAAUUGGAUCAUUCUUGGCGCAAAAGAAUGAGGAAGCAAAGGUAGAGUGUGGUCUGGAACUCCAACACUUGGGUUGAACAAAAAAGGCUCAAUCUUUCACUAUUUAGGAGUAAGGGAAAGCAAAUGCGAUCGUCAUAAAACGCCCUGGAAUUCCAUUCUGUAGGGAAGGAGGGCACUUAGAGAAGUCCCUUGGCCGGACAAAGCGCAUCUUCUUUUGCUCAUUUUUCAGGGCCUUGCCUUGUUGGCCUACCAAAUAAACAGGCUUUUUUUUAUUGAUUCCCUUAGGGGUCAUUAACUAAAGACCUUGAAGUCAUGACCCAUAAGCUAGCUGAGGAAAGUGAUAUCGCGCGUAGACAUCAAGUCGUAGUGCACGAACCAGCAACCCCUCUUUAUGAUGCUUUCCACUCUUUCGAGAGGAUUCAGUUAUUGAGUCGGUGAGCUGAUCUCGCCUUUUAUCUGGACAUUAUGAGUUCUCCCGAUCAUGACGACGAAGUAAGUGAAGGGUAGCACUGAACUAGCAAAGAGAAUGAAUGAGAUUAUGGGGCUCCGGUUCCAUCGAUUUUGACUUCAUUUUACUUAAUAGAAAGAGGUUGCAAAAAAGGAAGAGAAUGGAUCCACUCAAAAAACUUUGUUCGGAAUCUAACUCAGAGAGGCAGUGUUGAGUCCAUGCAGACUCUAAAUUCGUCUAGCGCUUCAAACCAAGGUCCAAGGGGCUACCGCAGGAAGUAAGCUUCACCUGUAACCUUAAGGAAUGCAGAAAGCUACCUAGAAUUCCUAGCAAGGACUUUGCCUGCUAUUCAUUCCUAAAUCCCUUUCACCCAACACUAGCUAACUCGAUAGGACGUCAACAGCGGGAAUGUCAAAAUCAAGACCUGGACCUGGUCCACGCAGUCAACCAGCAAAGACCUCUUUCUCUUCGUGACUUGAAGGACACGAUUCGUCAGCUCGAUAGAAUUGUUUAGAAUCCUCUCCUAGCUUCCUCUUUCUAUAGAUAUGAAGACUAUAAAAUGUCGAUCAGAGAGCAGGGUUGUUCUAAGAUAUAGAAGUAGUUAUGGGCUUGACUAAGUAGUAGAUAUGGGAUUGAGGGGCGGAGACUAAUUCAUUCUGGCUAAUGAAGAUACUACUCCAGUCUUUCCAGUGGAUCCUUCCCUAAGAAUGGAACGAACCAAGUGUUCGGGCCCUUCUCACCUCCUACGAGUCGUCCGGCGGAAAAGACUUUCUCAAACCAAAAAUUACCUAAGCCUACAUAGGGUAUAAAAUCCGAUUUCUCUCUUUUAGUGUGGGGGCAUUAGUAAAAGGCCUAAGCGGUCUUAGCUCCUUCUCUGGUCUUGCUGCCCUUGCCCCUCUUCUCUUUUCUCUUCUUUUAGAAGCUGUCUGUGAUCGGAACUUCUUUCGCUUUGAACGACUCUGGUCUUUUUGAAUCUGUUAAAUGGCUAGUCGAAGGUAAAGGAAAUGAAAAAAAAAGUAACCAGGAACGAGAAUACAGAGUCGGCAUUACAAGGAUAGAUGAGAUUAAAGGCGAAGACAAGGCUACUGUUUAGAUGGUGUAAGAACGACAUUUGUCGUCUUAUCCUUGUCUUUAUACACAAACAUUUUACCACAAUCUCCGAUCCUUCAUUGGAGAGAUCCAUAGCCGGACCACUCUUCAUAGACAGGAUUCCUAGUUGGAACCCAUGCGCCCCCCACCGAGACCGAUUCGUUCGAUCCGACGGGAGAAACAGGGCUCGAAGAACGAGCCGAGCCGUGUAAGGACGCAGGGAUAUAGCAAGUAAGCAGAAAGGUUCUCCCCUUAGGACCGACUACAAUAAGCUCGCGACUCUAAUAGAAAGAAGCGAGGUGCAAGUGCUGCAUAAAGUUCUGUUAUCCGUUUUCAAGCCUUUCUUUGAGCAGAGCGCUUUCUUUUCGAUCAUUGGCAAGCGCAGAUGGGCUUUCAUACCUGCUUAUGUUGUGGGUGGGAUGAAGGCAUCUAUCUUAUUAUAUGGAAGAUGAUUGUUAGAUGGUUAGUGGCUAGAACAAAAUAAGGGGCGUUGUAUGGAGGUUUCCAAGUAGAGGUGCGAAGCAAUUGAGAUGCAUAUAGAAUAGAAGGUAGGGUUCCAAACCUCGCGGCAGGUUACCAGAGAAGGGGGGACAACUCCUUUCUCCUUUGCUUGCUCAAUCUUCCUUUUAUAAUUGAAAGUAGCAAGCCACUCUACUAUUGGUACAGAGGCCAGAUAAAAGGUUGCUCAUCCAGCCCAACAGAUCCAUUGUUUAUGCGGCAGUGCAAUGCAGCUGAAAAAGGGAAGCCCCUUUUUAUUAGUAAGGUAUAGGUUGGUUGGGGAAAACUCCUGUGAUAUGAGUUACUACCCCUUGAUCACUAACGGCUGACCAAGCCAAUAAUGCUUAGCUGGUCUUUUCGGAUGAUCAGCCACACUGGGACUGAGACACGGCUCGGACUCCCACAGGGGGCAGCAGUGGGGAAUCUUGGACAAUGGGCAAAAGCCUGAACCAGCAAUAUCGCGUGAGCCACUUUGUUCUCAACUCUUCUUAUCUCCUGGGCGAGACAAGUUACAUUUAGCUAAGAGCCUAUUUUCCUUCUGCCCAGCUCCCCGAAAACAACGUUCGACUUGCAUGUGUUAAGCAUAUAGCUAGCGAUCCUUCUGAGCCAGGAUCAACCUCUAUCUACCCGGUAAGAUCUAUUGAAUGAGAUCCUGGAGACAGGGAUUUGAGGUAUGAGUUGAUCAGAUGCAGGGAAGCCCAGGCAAUCCGUUCCUAUCAGUCAUUCGUCAGGAAGCAGUAGAGAAAGAAUCAGAUUCUCAAAUCUCAUUGUUGAAGGCGUAGAGAGGAAAUAAAAGAAAGAAGAGCGAAUCUCUACAUGCAAUUCGCUCACUUCGGGAAGAGCAGACAAAAAGAGAAGGCCUUCGUCCUAUCUGCUUCUUUCUCUUCCCAGGAAUGAAGAAUUUUUGAAAAAAAAAAGAUUUUCUAAAAAAAGGAUCUGAAAAUCUAAGAUCACUUCCUUUCUUUAAAUCCAACAGUGGAGAUUGAUACAAAGGUGGGGAAUGGGUCAGGCCAACUUGAAAUGGACCAAUUCGAGAAAAGGGUCAAGAUAUGGUGCGGUCAGAUUCUUUCUCUUUAAAGUUACGAUUAUUCGAAGUUCAAUUUGAUCCGGGUAAGAAGACCUAAAGGCAGCCAAAAGGUUCUUGGGCUAUGCUGAAGAGAAGAAUAUGGAGGAUUGAUCCUAUUCACUGCUAAUCAUGUAGUUUUCUUUCAAUGAUAAGCAUAUAGAAACCUAGCGCUUUUUAGCUUUCUUCAGGAAUACCCCCGUUAGCCAGCUUUUGUAGCAAAUUCUAUUUGUUCUUCACCGCUUUGGGUUGUGGGGCUUACUUCCUAGCCCCAAUGGGAGUAGUGACUAGCGUUAUAGGUUGUUGGGCGGUCGGAAGGUUGCCACGAGUAAGUAAGAAAGAGGGACCGAAGUCAGUUCUCCGUGCACCGGACACGUAGCUUACCGAAUCCGUUGCGACACAGAUGGAAAUGCAUGCUAUGAAAGAUAGGGUCGAGUCUGAUACAUCAACCGUCUACUCAAUAUCCUUGUACGAGUCCACAAUGGCUACACGAGAUGAACCUUGGUUUGGUGAAUUAAAGUUGGCCUUAGGUGUAAUAGGACUCCCAGUUACUGUGCGCGAUCGUAUACUGAGGUGCUCCCCGCCGGUUGUUGGAAUGACACGAGUCGGGCCGGGUCUCGAUUCAGAAAGAUGAAGGGCUUUAACUACUACGAUCUAUAGAUUUCCCAUCUAUAUCCAAUCCCAACGAGAAUAGAAGCGAGUCGCUUCCGACUUUCGUCGUCCAGUAGCGACGACUGUCUUUUCGAUUGGAACCGCAGUCGCCCUUUGGUUGGGCAUUGGUGCAACAUUACCUAUUGAUAAAUCCUACGAAGAUAGGCAUAAAGGCAUGAUUAGUUCCACAAAUCUCACUGCACUGACCAUAGUAAAAUCCUUCUCGUUGUACCAAAAUAGAGGUCUGAUUUAUACAACAUGGAUUCUGGCAAUGUAGUUGGACUCUCAUGACGAUCCGAAUGAAUCAUCCUUUCCACGGAGGUAAAUCUUUGCCUGCUAGGCAAGAGGAUAGCAAGUUCCAUAUUCUAUCUUGGGUAAAAUGCCCGCCCGUAACCCAGCAGAUAAAGUACAUUACAUAGUCCAGGGAUUGGCGAGACCUACCCUUGUGCGAGUGACUGAUGGGGAGAAGCGAUGGCUCAGGGAGGGAAGGCGCAGUGCAGACUUGGUUAAUCAGGUCUGGAUUUUUUGCAUCGUUUCAGUCAUCGUGGUCGACGGGGAAGAAAGAAAUGAAUGAAUGUUCUUUUGGGAAAAUGUAUAAUAAUACACCUACCGAGACGAAAGCCAAAGGUAAGUCUCAUAGGUGGACGUAUCGAACUGAAAUAAGAUCUCAGAUUGACAUCUUGAUACAAAACUAUCUUUUCUGUAUACUUUCCCUGGUUCCGUUACUACCGCGGGCUUUACGCAAUUGAUCGGAUUAGAUAGAUAUCCCUUCAACAUAGGUCAUUGAAAGGGUCUCGAAGACCCACCAAAGUACGAAAGCCAUAGACUCUUCAUUUCUUUGUCUUAUUAGCGCAGGUGUUCGUCAACGAUAAAAGUCGCUAAACUUCAAACUUGAGUGGAGAAAGAGGGCUAGGCCCCCGAAGGACUUUCAAGGACUGGGGAAGACGGGUGGAUUAUAGAGCUAGGGUAGGGGCAAAUCGAAGGCCCAUCGGGAUUGGGCAUGAACAAGCCUCGACAGUGCCAGCAUUGAUGAAAAAAGAAAAACUUCCCCCAUCGCAUCAUUAACCGGUGUAGGAUUCAAGAUCAGGUCCAGGAUUCGAGUCAAAUCGACCUUCCCUCUCAUCUCAGGGUGAGGCAAAGAAUUGUUUCAAAUAUUUGUUGUUCAAUAUCUCGGCUGCUCAAGAAGUUUGACUAGUUGCUCCUCCGACCCGGAGUGGAUUCUAGGGGAAGGGCAGAGCCUCACCUUGCAGUAGGAAGGUGAUUGUUGUUGGGACGGGUUCAAAUUGGACUGAAGGGAGAAUUAUUUGCUUGACCUCCGCCUUUUUCUACUUGCACGGAUGCCUUCCCUUCCUUAGAGGAUCUGUUUGGGAAGUAAGAAGCCCCUUUGAUAUCUCUUCAUCUGCAAAUAAUUCUCGAUGUGAAAACACAGAGCCAGGGGGCUAGUCUUUGGAUAGGGAAAAGAGUGGAUCUUUAGGGUCCCAAAUGAAUUGGCUUAUUAAAAAAAGGCCUUGUUCUUUGAAAGAUCUAUCUCGUGUCUGGUACUGCAUGGUUCCACUCUACAAGAACCCCGAAUCAUUCUCUUGAAGCUCAUCCUCUUCAUCAUAAAUGAUUCGCUUGUCCAGACGAGUCGACUGACUCUUAGUUGUUUCCGCCGCAGAUACGGAAGGCCAUUCUAACUAUAAGGUCCUCCCUUUCUCGGAUGAGGGUCCUCUCCUCUUCUUCCAAAGUGCGGAUUUGGUUUAGGAGCUGUUAAAUGCGUAGUUCCACCAGCACCGGAAAAAGAGUGGGCACGUUUUCUAAAAAGGCCUGUAGAGUUUGCCGCCGUUAGCGCUUUUGGUUUUCCACAUGGAGAAUUCUUUGAUUCAUUUGAAAAGGUCUUUAAGUGGUGGCUGGAUCCAUCUCUCCCUUUUCUUUGCCAAAUAGAGAAAAUGGCUUCUAUUUAUAGACGUUGGAAGCCCUUUCUCUUUCUUAUUAUAUUAUUUGUAACCCUAUUUUUAUUAGGUUGUCUUGGUUCCAUAACAUGGUUUAAACCUGGUUUUUCAUGAAUUUGGAACCCCACCGAGUUAUCGCUGCAAACCCCAAGAUAGUAUUAUGGCACUCUCAGUCAGUUUUCCCACGUCCAGUAGACUUUCUUUCUACAACCGUAUAUUGAACUAAUAGAAUAGUGAAAGGUUAUUAGAAUAGGCUGAGAAAAGGGCUAAGAGGGAACCAUAGGAUAUUACUUGACCUAAAGGGGCCUAGGGCACCAAGCCUACCAGUUCUUCUUUCAAGCUCAAAAUAAGAAAGAAUAUAGGAAUUGCCUACCACGCUUUGCGCCUGCUGCAUUUUCGCCAGACGGUCUUUGCCAGUAGUGCCAUCCUCAGGAUCUGGGAUUGAUUGUGGAACCGAGCAUAGAGAAUCGGGGGCGGGCAGGAAGAUAGGCUAGGCGGAGUAGUCGCUCUGGAGCAGUUUCUUCAACUGGAUCAAUGCAUGUAUGAACCCUAAAAAAAUCCCGAAGGUCUAGUCUAAAAAAAACCCGGAUUUUGUUGGGUUAGCUUUUUGGUAGGAAAGGCGGUCACAGGAAGAAAUACCCUACCAAUGAAUAGAUUAGUCUACUAACGUCAACAAUCUCUUUCUUCAUAUACGAGAUCGUCUGCUUUUAUAUCCUAAACUAUAGAUAUGAAAGAAAAAAGAAAGAUCAUCUUCUUAUCCGCCGACCUAUUCAAUUCUGGAAUCAGACCUGCUAUUAAUGUGGGUAUCUCCCUUUCCAUAGUGGGGUCCGCAGCUCAAAUAAAAUCCUCAAUGUCGUGCCAGCUGAGGGUUGUCAUAGUGGUGUGCGUAAUGUGAUCGAGAUUAGCGUAUUGUUUUUUAUACCAGUCAAGAGUAACCAAUGUUUUAGUCAACCCUUUAUGUUUAAUGAUAUCAGUGUGUCCCUCUUCAAAGAGACAAUAAUUCUUAGCAGCGAAACAGAGGAUUUGCCAACAUCGAAAGCAAUCAGACUUGGUUUGGAAAUCUUCGCGCUUGGGAAGCCGAGAAAGCGGCGUGUACGGUACGGGUUUUGGUAGUGAAACAAUUGAUCUAGUAAGCUUAGGUUAGUGGAGUGGUAAGUUUAUUUCGACAGGUUUCAAAGCUUCAGGGGGUGUUCACCUUUGGAAACUUAGCUACUUAAGUCCUUCUUAGAAAGUCAAAGUAAGGGCGAACGGCAUUCUGUUCUACAGCUACAACAUAACAUAGAGUGUAUUAAUAUGUAUUAUUGUAUUAAUAUUAAACAUCUUAAUAGUAGAACUACUUUCGUACGCUCGCGCCUGAUUAGCUAGUUCGUGAGGCAAUAGCUUACCAAGGCGAUGAUCAGUAGCUGGUCCGCGGCCGUUAGGUCACCUAUUUUGAUUUAUGGACACACAAGGCCAAAACAUGUGUGCCGGGCACGUGACGCCUGAAGAUGGCACAGAAAGACAAAAAGAGCAAAAUCGAUAUAAGAUAAGACUGGAUGGAAUCCUUCUAGUAGUAUCGGCCAUUUACCCUACUUCCCUCCAGAUUUCAUCAAGUGUUCAUGCUAUAGACAUAAACAGUUAUGGAUAAUUAAAUUAUGAGAUCCUUACGAAUGAGCCUUCCAGUAACAACGAAUUCAGUGCUUUCUCAUGUCCCUUCCAGUAGUAGUAGGUUCCAUGUGACUUUAGGAAGUAAUAGCUAACAACUUUUAGAUUGAAUUCAUGCUGAAAAAUUAUUAUUCUAGUCAAUAUAUUUUAUUGUUUAGGGGGAAUUACGCUUACUUGUUUUUUAGUACAAGUAGCUACUGGGUUUGCUAUGACUUUUUACUAUCGUCCGACCCUUACUGAGGCUUUUGCUUCUGUUCAAUACAUAAUGACUGAAGCCAACUUUGGUUGGUUAAUCCGAUCAGUUCAUCGAUGGUCGGCAAGUAUGAUGGUGGCGGGCUCUUGGGUCGUCUGGACCCAUAUCUGGAAAAAGUGGUGGCCUGGUUAUUCCCACACCCCCUUAUCAUACGUGUCUUUAGGAGCAUCACCCGCCAUUAAUUUAUCAAGACCGUAAAUACGAGCAAUGCCAUCGCCUGCUCCUCCAGUAGACAUUGAUGGUAUUCGUGAACCCAUUUCAGGGUCUCUACUUUACGGAAACAAUAUUAUUUCCGGUGCCAUUAUUCCUACUUCUGCAGCUAUAGGUUUACAUUUUUAAAGCAUUUUGAAACUCUAAUUUAUUUUAUCCUGGGAGUUUUGUUUUGAUAUAAACAUUUUCUAAAUGAUUUCGGAACAUUACUCAUAGGAAUAACCUAUUUUUAUAUAUGUUUUCUAAAAAAUAACAAAGGGAGAUCCUAUAAGAGAGCUUACAGAACAGGCACUACAUUUCAAAUAUAACUAACAAUUGGCUAAAAUAAACUCAUUCUUAUUCUUCUCUCCUGUUCCUUCAAUUUUCUCCCUGUGCUCCUCUUAUUAUUCCUCCUGUUGAGUUGUCUUCACUUCCAUUACCUCGCUGUUUUAAUGUCAUUUCUCUCGCAAGAGAGUUCUGCUCUUCCCGUAGGGCUUUGAGUCUGAGCUUUGCUUCCCUGAGUGGAGUGUCUGUUGGAAGUUUUUUCCAGAACCUAUCCUAGUUGUCAUCAAGGCAGGGCCGCUAUAAAGCCUACCGGCCGGCUAGAAAGUCCUUAAGAAUGAGAAAGCCGACUAAAAGGCUAUUCCAUAACCGACUCUUGUUGCCGAGUCGAGGGGGCGUUCAGCCACUGUAAAGAGAGGGGGCUUGGCUGGUACCAGCCUCUAAAAGAGUUUUCUUCGAGCGAGCGGUCUUUCUAUCUUUUUGGGUUGCAUGCCCAAGGCAAUGCUUUUUGUAGAUUGAGAUGGAUUGAUCUUUGCUAUCGUGCCUCCUCCUUGUACCAGUUAAUACUAGGGCAGUGCUUAAUAUGAGUUUUCUCCUGCCCCAAACAGCUUUCGAGGUUCCCAUCGAUUACAGAGGUUUCUACCACUGAACUUGCUUAUGCUCCCCUUUGAUCGAGUUCUAUUUCUAUAAAUAAGAUUGAGUAGAAAAAUGUUGAAUUGGCUUCAAUCGAGAUUGCCGCAGCUUCUUAGGCACAUGAGGAACCGGCCUAACAUCUUUUCAAUCAAAAUCCCAAACAAAGACAAGUUCUACCAAGGCCUGUACUUCUACCUAUUAUAGCACUGGCAGCCGAAGUCGAGCAUACAUAUGACGAUCUUUAUGUGUGAAUAGUCGGGAGGAAAGAAAGGGCGGUAGAUGAUAAUAAGAAAGGGCGCUGCGUCUGGACGGGCAGAAUGGAUAAGCGAAAGGUGUCAUGCCAUGGAGUGGGGAAUAGCCCUCGUCUCAUGUAAGACAACUAAAUGCACCUCGAGGCCGAGGAACUGAGGGACCUUCUCGAGCACAGGAUAGGUAAUUGAGAGAUAGAGCUAGCCUAUUCGUUAUGGGAAAUCAAUGCUCCGCAGCUUAGCUGAGUAGCAACUCUCUUUCUGCCGGCCGGCGUGGCGCUGUGCGGUAGCAUUCGUGGUGGUGCUUCAGGAUUCCAAUGUACUUCGUCCAAGAUCAGAACGAGCUUGCCGGCGGACCACUGCCGUCCCAUUCUUGAGUGAGCUGGAGUGCAGCCAUCUUAUCCCCUGAACUAGCUAGAAGCUAUCGCUUCGGGGUGAAGCACUAAAAGAAAAGGACCGGGAAACGCGGCGAAACUCAUUGCCCAUGGAUAAAGAAAAACCAUUUCAACAUCAAAAACAACAAAAACUAGAGCAAACAUAUAAUAACAGAUUUGAAAUUGUAACCAAGCAUCAGUGCAUUUUAUAACUCUAGCACUCUCGUCAUGAGACGUAGAAGCAAAAAAAAAAAAGCCUAGGCUGAUCAUCCAAACACCCAUUGAUUCAGAUCCUUAUCGGGUACGAUAACAUAACUGUUCCCUGUGAGGGGUCAGGUGUAGUUCAAAUGUCAUUUAGUAUGCUACCUGUCAUAGCUCUGACAGGGUGGCGAUGCUUCUGGUGGGUGUGGAAAUUGGAAGUCUCAUGUUGUUCAUCAGCACUAUGGCAUGAUCGGAUUGUACCAGUGACAAGUGUUUCGGUGGUUAGUUUUACAUUAGGAUCCUCUCAGCUAUCUAAGUGCCACUCGUUGGAGUGUGGUACUUGCUUGACAGCUGGGAUCUUUCCUAGGUGAUGGCUGGGACUGCGUUUUCUUUGGGGAAGCAGGUUUCCAUCUGAAUUGGAGGAGGCCUAUAUAAAGAAAUUCUUUACAGUCUACUUUGUUGUCCUUGAAUCUUCUUUCUUGAGUUUGACUGAUAAAAGACUUUACUAAGCAAGCUGUCUGUCGGUCCCCAUUGGUUAAUUGUGUCAACAGAGGCAAGGAGUACCACUGGACUAUCCCACUAGCGAUCCUACUUCAAUGCAGGUGUUCGUCAAUGAUGAAAGCCGCUGAACUUUAGACUCGAGUGGAGAAAGAGGGCUAGGCCCCCGAAGGGCUUUCAGGGACUGGGGAAGACGAGUGGCUUACCAAAGACAACAAUCCCUACAUUCUCAUUGAAAAGGUCAGUGACUUAAAGGAGUGAAGAGAGCAUUAUCCGUCGAUUCCGAAGGAACUAGAGUUACAUCUCUUUUCCAUUCAAGAGUUUUUAUGCGUUUCCACGCCCCUUUGAGACCCCAAAAAAAUGGAGAAAUUCCGGCCCUUUUACCAAGUCUACCAGAUAGAAGAUGAUAGAGGGCCAACUAUCGUUGCCUUGCACAAGACGGUGCCCUUUCACUUCGAGUUCCUUCCUUCGUAGUCAAAUCUGAUGAUACGCUUUGGCGAUAUUACCUACCAAAUAAAAGGCCUGCUAGGUGAUCAAAAUCGUAAAAUAAAAUAUAUGCAAUAGAAAAUUCGAUCAAAAUAAAAGUCUCAUUUCUCUUUCUGCUUUUUGAUUUUAUGUUUACCGCCUUGCUGGACUAAAAAAAGAAGCUUUAGAGGAAUUUUUAUGUUAUAAUUUUAGUGGUUUUUAUGAUUUUAGUGGUUUUGACGACCCUAUCUUAUCCUAUCUUAAUUACCACAAUUCCCCUAUUCGACAAAAGUUGCAUUUGUAUACAAUAAUCGGAUUGUAGCGGGUAUAGUUUAGUGGUAAAAGUGUGAUUCGUUCUAUUAUCCCUUAAAUAGUUAAAGGGUCCUUCGGUUUGAUUCAUAUUCCGAUCAAAAACUUUAUUUCUUAAAAGGAUUAAAUCCUUUUCCUCUCAAUGACAGAUUCGAGAACAAAUACACAUUCUCGUGAUUGGUAUCCAAAGGUCACUUAGACAUUGAAAAAUUGGAUUAUGAAAUUGCGAAACAUAAUUUUUGAAUUGGAUCAAUACUUCCAAUUGAAUAAGUAUCAAUAAAGGAUCCAUGGAUAAAGAUAGAAAGUUGAUUUCUAAUCGUAACUAAAUCUUCU
rnacentral:lncRNA from 1 species